UUAGAGUUUGAUCCUGGCUCAGAUUGUUUUCGGGCGGCAGGCCUAACACAUGCAAGUCGAGCGGAUGAAGAGAGCUUGCUCUCUGAUUCAGCGGCGGUUUUUGUGAGUAAUGCCUAGGAAUCUGCCUGGGAGGGGGGGACAACGUUUCGAAAGGAACGCUAAUACCGCAUACGUCCUACGGGAGAAAGCAGGGGACCUUCGGGCCUUGCGCUAUCAGAUGAGCCUAGGUCGGAUUAGCCAGUAGGUGAGGUAAUGGCUCACCUAGGCGACGAUCCGUAACUGGUCUGAGAGGAUGAUCAGUCACACUGGAACUGAGACACGGUCCAGACUCCUACGGGAGGCAGCAGUGGGGAAUAUUGGACAAUGGGCGAAAGCCUGAUCCAGCCAUGCCGCGUGUGUGAAGAAGGUCUUCGGAUUGUAAAGCACUUUAAGUUGGGAGGAAGGGCAGUAAGUUAAUACCUUGCUGUUUUGACGUUACCAACAGAAUAAGCACCGGCUAACUUCGUGCCAGCAGCCGCGGUAAUACGAAGGGUGCAAGCGUUAAUCGGAAUUACUGGGCGUAAAGCGCGCGUAGGUGGUUCAGCAAGUUGGAGGUGAAAUCCCCGGGCUCAACCUGGGAACUGCCUCCAAAACUACUGAGCUAGAGUACGGUAGAGGGUAGUGGAAUUUCCUGUGUAGCGGUGAAAUGCGUAGAUAUAGGAAGGAACACCAGUGGCGAAGGCGACUACCUGGACUGAUACUGACACUGAGGUGCGAAAGCGGGGGGAGCAAACAGGAUUAGAUACCCUGGUAGUCCACGCCGUAAACGAU
rnacentral:rRNA from 1 species